rnacentral:tRNA from 1 species
UUUUAUCUAGUAUAAUUAAUUACAUUUAGCUUUCAAGUAAAAAAUAAGAUCAGAU